UACAGAGGUCCCGAGCGUUGUUCGGAUUUAUUGGGCGUAAAGAGCGUGUAGGCGGCCAGGUAGGUCUGCUGUGAAAACUCGAGGCUCAACCUCGAGACGUCGGCGGAAACCAUCUGGCUAGAGUCCGGAAGAGGAGAGUGGAAUUCCUGGUGUAGCGGUGAAAUGCGCAGAUAUCAGGAAGAACACCCGUGGCGAAGGCGGCUCUCUGGGACGGUACUGACGCUGAGACGCGAAAGCGUGGGGAGCGAACAGG
rnacentral:rRNA from 1 species